AAUUGUCUGAUAAGACAACGAAAAUCAAACUUAAACGGAAGUUAGAGGGAAUGAACAAGAAAUUAAAAAGGAAAAGUAAGAAGAAGAGGUCCUGAAUUGCCAAACAUGCUCGAGCCACCAAGGUAGCAUCUGUGUCAUCAACCUCUGGUCUUUCAGAGUUUGUUAAAACAGAAAUUCCUGAAGCAAGACUAGCAAGUACACUGGCAACACCAAUUUUUAACAGUGGAGGCUGCCUAGUUUCCGGCAAAUUUGACUUUGGAGAACUAUCUAAUUCCUCACCCAUUCUGAAUAAGACCACUUUAGAUCCAGAAGUGGCAACGAUUAAAAUGAAAGAAAAUAAAACUUAAACCAAAAAUGAAAAUCUUGGUAGGCCAAGCUGAAGUUGAAAAUGCAAGAAGUAUUGAAGAGAAACAGGCACGAAAUGGUGCUCUGCAAAUAGCUGAAGGUUUUCAGGUAAAAGACUAUGUGGAAUUGCUUGCCAAACCGAAUAAUGAACGAGAUCAAAUCAAAUCAGAGAGUAACAAAAAUUGCGCUGAACGAAUCGAAGAAAAGGAAAAGAGAAGGGAAUAACAACAGAAAAGGAGAAAAGCCAACAUUAAGAAAAAGAAAACUGAAAAGAAAGAACAUAAAGUGAAUAAACUAAAGAAAAAAGGCAAAUUUAUCGCAUGAAAAACUGAUACUGACUGAUGGAUCAGCUAAACUUGUGUUCUUUCAUGUGCAGCCAUGUCGUGAUAGUUUUUUAGAAAAAUACACUGAUAUGCCUUCCAUGA